rnacentral:rRNA from 1 species
AGAGUUUGAUCCUGGCUCAGAGUGAACGCUGGCGGCGUGCCUAAUACAUGCAAGUCGAACGAUGAAGCUUCUAGCUUGCUAGAAUGCUGAUUAGUGGCGCACGGGUGAGUAACGCAUAGGUCAUGUGCCUCUUAGUUUGGGAUAGCCAUUGGAAACGAUGAUUAAUACCAGAUACUCCCUACGGGGGAAAGAUUUAUCGCUAAGAGAUCAGCCUAUGUCCUAUCAGCUUGUUGGUAAGGUAAUGGCUUACCAAGGCUAUGACGGGUAUCCGGCCUGAGAGGGUGAACGGACACACUGGAACUGAGACACGGUCCAGACUCCUACGGGAGGCAGCAGUAGGGAAUAUUGCUCAAUGGGGGAAACCCUGAAGCAGCAACGCCGCGUGGAGGAUGAAGGUUUUAGGAUUGUAAACUCCUUUUGUUAGAGAAGAUAAUGACGGUAUCUAACGAAUAAGCACCGGCUAACUCCGUGCCAGCAGCCGCGGUAAUACGGAGGGUGCAAGCGUUACUCGGAAUCACUGGGCGUAAAGAGCGCGUAGGCGGGAUAGUCAGUCAGGUGUGAAAUCCUAUGGCUUAACCAUAGAACUGCAUUUGAAACUACUAUUCUAGAGUGUGGGAGAGGUAGGUGGAAUUCUUGGUGUAGGGGUAAAAUCCGUAGAGAUCAAGAGGAAUACUCAUUGCGAAGGCGACCUGCUGGAACAUUACUGACGCUGAUUGUGCGAAAGCGUGGGGAGCAAACAGGAUUAGAUACCCUGGUAGUCCACGCCCUAAACGAUGGAUGCUAGUUGUUGGAGGGCUUAGUCUCUCCAGUAAUGCAGCUAACGCAUUAAGCAUCCCGCCUGGGGAGUACGGUCGCAAGAUUAAAACUCAAAGGAAUAGACGGGGACCCGCACAAGCGGUGGAGCAUGUGGUUUAAUUCGAAGAUACACGAAGAACCUUACCUAGGCUUGACAUUGAGAGAAUCCGCUAGAAAUAGUGGAGUGUCUGGCUUGCCAGACCUUGAAAACAGGUGCUGCACGGCUGUCGUCAGCUCGUGUCGUGAGAUGUUGGGUUAAGUCCCGCAACGAGCGCAACCCCCUUUCUUAGUUGCUAACAGGUCAUGCUGAGAACUCUAAGGAUACUGCCUCCGUAAGGAGGAGGAAGGUGGGGACGACGUCAAGUCAUCAUGGCCCUUACGCCUAGGGCUACACACGUGCUACAAUGGGGUGCACAAAGAGAAGCAAUACUGCGAAGUGGAGCCAAUCUUCAAAACACCUCUCAGUUCGGAUUGUAGGCUGCAACUCGCCUGCAUGAAGCUGGAAUCGCUAGUAAUCGCAAAUCAGCCAUGUUGCGGUGAAUACGUUCCCGGGUCUUGUACUCACCGCCCGUCACACCAUGGGAGUUGUGUUUGCCUUAAGUCAGGAUGCUAAAUUGGCUACUGCCCACGGCACACACAGCGACUGGGGUGAAGUCGUAACAAGGUAACCGUAGGUGAACCUGCGGUUG